GAUCAUGGCUCAGGAUGAACGCUGGCGGCGUGCUUAACACAUGCAAGUCGAACGAAGCACCUUGAUUUGAUUCUUCGGAUGAAGAUCUUGGUGACUGAGUGGCGGACGGGUGAGUAACGCGUGGGUAACCGUGCCUCAUACAGGGGGAUAACAGUUAGAAAUGACUGCUAAUACCGCAUAAGACCACAGUACCGCAUGGUACAGGGGUAAAAACUCCGGUGGUAUGAGAUGGACCCGCGU
rnacentral:rRNA from 1 species